ACGGAGAGUUUGAUCCUGGCUCAGGGUUAACGCUGGCGGCGUGCCUAACACAUGCAAGUCGAACGGAUGUCCUAGUGGCGAACGGGUGAGUAGCACGUGGGCAACCUACCCUCCUGUGGGGGACAACUCCGGGAAACCGGGGCUAAUACCGCAUGCGGUCACCGAUCGAGUGUUCGGUGAAGAAAGCAGCAAUGCGCAGGAGGAUGGGCCCGCGGCCUAUCAGCUAGUUGGUGGGGUAACGGCCUACCAAGGCGAAGACGGGUAGCUGGUCUGAGAGGACGACCAGCCACACGGGGACUGCGACACGGCCCCGACUCCUACGGGAGGCAGCAGUGAGGAAUCUUCCGCAAUGGGCGAAAGCCUGACGGAGCAACGCCGCGUGUGGGAUGAAGUAUCUCGGUAUGUAAACCACUGUCGGAGGGGAAGACCAAGACGGUACCCUCCAAGAAAGCCCCGGCUAACUACGUGCCAGCAGCCGCGGUAAUACGUAGGGGGCAAGCGUUACCCGGAUU
rnacentral:rRNA from 1 species